ensembl:lncRNA
ACCAAUCGCACGCCGCUCAUUUUAUUGACCAGCGCCUGAACGCACCACCUGAAUAUUUUUUUCUCAUCGGAGCAUCGGAGUAUUUGGUUAAUAACGUGAACACUGUUGUAAACGAGGACCUGCAGAUGAGUUUAGAAGACAACACAAUGACCUACGAGGCCGGACUGAGGGAGACGUCCUCUGCUGACGUCCUACCUGUCCUGUCUCACCUCCUCCUCCUCUUCUGUAUUCUGACUUCCAACAUCCACACUGAUCCUCCGCUCGGCCUGGUGGCCCGUCAGCUCAACGGGGGAGGGGCUCUUCAGGUGUGUGUGUGUGUGUGUGUGUGUGUGUGUGCGUGUGCGUGCGUGUGUGUAUGCGUGUGCGUGUGUGUGCGGGUUGUGGUGACUGCAGGCUGCUAGUAAUUGAAAAGCCAGAACGCCAGCAACCGUGACCCCUGUGACCUCCUAUUGAGAGAACAACCAUUGAUUUCUGCACAGAGGGAGCAAGUGCUAAAGAAAAGGAUACAUUAUAGGAAAGGAACAGAGCAAGAAGAAGGAAAGAGGGAAGCUGAAUACAAAGGAAGCAUUAGAGGUAAACUGGGAAGUACGAAGGACUGGGAAAGAUUUCAGACAAAGGAAUGAAUCAGGAGGCUGUCAGAGAGGCGAAGUAUAGAACAUGUGGGAUAAAAAAGUACAGGAGGGAUGAUAGAUGAGGAGGGAGAAAAAGAAUAAACAAUAAUUAAAAAGCUUGAUGUAAAAUAAACCGCAGGAUAGAAAGGAGGAAGCAAAGGGAAGAUCUGGGCAUGCAUGCUAACUAAAGCCUAGUUUAUGCUUCUGCAUUUUCAGAGCGAAGACCCCUUUGCGUGUCGCUCGCGUGUCCCUCGCGUGUCCCUCGCGUGUCUUUUCACACCUCCUUACGUGCGUCGUCCCAUUUUUGUAGACUAGCGUCUAAAGCGACGCAGCCUCCUGCAGCAGCAGGCUGUGAUUGGUCUGCUGACUACGUCCUUUACGGAGUCUCACAUCUCCGUUUUCACAGCACAAUACGGCCGUUAUUAAAACAAGAACGGAUCAGAUUGAAGAGCUUUUAAAUAUGAGCGCUUGUACAAGCCGUCAUUGGCGGACUAUGAGGACGCCGGAUGGCCUCUGAUUCAUGGAGGGAGAUCUCCACCAACGAGGGGAACAAAGUCGUGGAGGAAAAUACGGGACAAAUGUGUCCGUGAUGAAAAGCAGCAGUGUGGAUGCACGGGGCAAUAAAGUCUAUGAUCAAUAAAUAAAGCAACCAGCGACUUCCACACACAAAGACGUGACUCUCUAGGUCGUCUUCAACAAAACACGUGACUCCACCUGUUGUUCUGGAGGUGAAUCGCUCUGCAACACACGCAGGACUUUACAACCAGGAAGUGAAACCAGUGCGUCGACAAGACGCAGAAACACGCGGCCACAAAGGGGCAAGUAACUAAUACUCCUGUUUAUUCACUUUAUCCGUGUGGCCUGACAGAAAUACCUGUUAUUCCUUCUACUCUCAACUUGGUGAUUUUCACUCCUUUGAACUUUGCCUCUUGGCUUUAAAUGAGACAUUGUAAAGCUUGUCGGUUCCGUGUGUAAUCAUAGUGAACCAAGCACAGCACCAAGGUGAGUUAUUACAACGGAACGCAGUGUAAAGCAGCACAAGGUAACGUAGCGCAUUCCUUCCAAAUAGGUGAGUAUUCCGUACGAAAACCAGGAUUUAAGAAUCAGGCCUCCUCUUCAGCGUGAUGUUCCUUUAGUAAGUUAUGGUCCAUUUAGUCAAAUAGAGCGCAGUUUGCUUUAGGGCGGGCUUACUGUGAUUGACAGGUCGCUGUCACCAUAGAGGAUCCUCCGUAUCUAUGUUGCUCCUCUGUUCAUUGUCUGCGAAAGGAAGAGUGGCGGCGGUGACCUCACAGAACUCAUUCCUCUCAGCAGGACACAAAUCAAGGCAUCUGACCCCCCAGUAAUAGAAAGACAAUGUCACCAGAUCAACGGCUACGGAAUGGCGCGCUGUUUCCCUGACAACGACGCGAGGAAGAGGAGCAGGAGGACGGGACGGAGAGGGGGAGGCUGAAGGAGAGAAGCGACGAGGUGGAUGAUUACACAGGGAGAGGGAGGAAAAGAAUGAAGGGAUGUAGAAAGAGACAGAGGGCGAUGUCAUUACAGACAGACGAAGGAACAACCACAUGAAGGUUGAAAAGAGUAAAAACGGAGCAGGUGGGAGGAGGGGGAUUGUAUUUGCUGCAACAAAUGUGCUGAAAUAUCAAAAAUAAGACCAAAUAAGUGACCUGUAUUUGACCUGCUGCCCACUUUGGUUUGGGCGACCAAACCACCUGUUUAAGUAAAAGCGUGUGGAUUGGAUGAAACGAGGAGGCUUUGUUACCUUGGUUAAGUUACCUGCCCAAGUUAUGCAGGUGAUGUACCGUACGUAAAGGAAAUAAGCCUCCUAUUGUUUCCACACUGGACACAAGUACCUGCGUGUGUCCUGUCCUGUCUCCGUCCGUCCAACACAGCCGCUCCGAGCGCCUGAUGUAGCCGUGGACGUCUUUACAUGGAAGCCUGAGGCUUCAAAUACAGUCCACGGAGGGAACCCUGGACAUUCUAUUGGUUUGGUGUGUAGCCGAAGAUUUCCAGGCCGAACGAUUCCACUGGGACGACGAGCAGAAAGCACAAUGCUUCCUGUUGCUGAAACACUGCGAACGACUGCAGAACCUGUAGAAAUGACCCGAGGCCACAAACUAACACGAGGAAACCC